rnacentral:rRNA from 1 species
GACGAACGCUGGCGGCGUGCUUAACACAUGCAAGUCGAGCGGUAAGGCCCUUUCGGGGGUACACGAGCGGCGAACGGGUGAGUAACACGUGGGUGACCUGCCCUUAGCUCUGGGAUAAGCCUGGGAAACUGGGUCUAAUACCGGAUAUGACUCCAUGACGCAUGUUGUGGGGUGGAAAGCCUUGUGCGGCUAGGGAUGGGCCCGUGGCCUAUCAGCUUGUUGGUGGGGUGAUGGCCUACCAAGGCGACGACGGGUAGCCGGCCUGAGAGGGCGACCGGCCACACUGGGACUGAGACACGGCCCAGACUCCUACGGGAGGCAGCAGUGGGGAAUCUUGCGCAAUGGGCGAAAGCCUGACGCAGCGACGCCGCGUGAGGGAUGACGGCCUCGG